UCCACGCUGCAGCUCUCCUUUUCCCCCACGUCUCCUCUCCCCGAUUGAGAGAGGCGGCGUCCUCCUCGCCUUCUUUCCCGUCUGGCGCCGCUGGUCUCUUCCAGCUAUGCUGCCGCCGCCGGCCCCCACCUUUCCCUCUUCAGGACGAGGUGUAGCCAUGGCGGCAACGCCAAAGGAGGAGGAGAGGGGAGGAUAUAUAUAUAUGCCGCUACAAGAUCGAGUACCAGGGUGGUGAUGAUCAGGCAACGCAGGCAACGCAGGUCGUGAUGAUCACGCAACGCAGGCUGAUCAUCAUGAGCGCCUGGAUGCAUUCACCACCGGCGCCGUCUGCAGGUCUUCGUCUAUGGCGACGCCGUUAGUGCUUCGCCUGGAUGCAUCCACCACCAGUGCCGGCUCCAGGUCAUCGUUAGGAUGGGCACGGAACAGCAGCAAGCAACGCGGCAUCCUCAGGCCGUGACGACAAGAGAUUAGAUGCGUUCGCUUCAGAUGCGGUUGUUCUUUCCAGUGUCCAGGCCAGGGAUUCGUCAAGGAACAUACAUGUGGUCUCUGUCGACCUGCUGUCUCAUGCGCUCAAGAGGUUGAUCUCAAGUUGUUUAUUUGGCAGCAUAAGCAAGUUUCUUUUGGAGGACAGAAUUUUGCCCUGGAUAAAGAGCUGUGAACUCACAAGUAACCGAUUUAAUUUGUUAGAGAGAGACACAGUGUUCAUAUAUUCUGUCAGUUCGGUUUUUACACCAAAUAUCCAUUGGUUUUAUUUACAUGUUUUCUGUUGAAAGUUGUUGGUUCAGGACAAGUUCGAUCAGUACGGAAAGUUUAUAAGCUACUGAAGGUGGAACCGAUUGACUAGCAUCUGCAUGCACAGCAUUGAUCAGUAUGUAUGUUUGCUUGAAUUAGUGUACCCGUUAUGAUAAUAUGCUUUUGACUUCCAGUGGUAGUCUUUUCAUUAGCCUUCCGUGAAGCUAACUGCCCAUUUCUUACUUUUAGAGGAAAGGAAUUCACCCAACUUUAUAAAUAGAGAUAAACGCACCAUUCGUCAUUGAACUCUUGUGAGAUGAGCACAUUGGUCACUCUUCUCUCAAAAUGUGAUGAACCGGUCACAACACUCAAUUUUAUGAGCAAACUGGUCACUCUGCCGUUUUCAGCGUAACGGGCGCUAAGGUGGCAUGCUGACUCAGCGUUGGGUCCACGCCCAUGGCACAUGCGCAUAUCAGAGGGCGGGAUAUUUUGCAAAAAGGACCCUGAAAAGAUGUGGAGCAUCAGUUUGGACACUGGGAGGAUUGUUUGCUCGUGUUGCUCAUUCUUGACUGGAACUCGUCGUGCGCCAAGCUAAGCCAUGGGCUCUUGUUGGGAUCCAGGAACACCGCCGCUGACCCGCCAUUGCUGUCGGCGGGGUCGCGCAUGCUGAGCUGCAACACGCCGUGCCAUGCCUCGACGCCACUGUCGGCGCACGCCACCUGCACCGCUGCUAGCCUGCUACUGCCGCUGACGAGCGUGAUUGCGAGCCCGUGGCAUCUUUCUCUCUGUGACCACAGCUGGUGCGGCGUGGUGUUCCAGCAGUUAGGGCCGAGGUUCCUUCCUCCGCUAGCCUGCUGCACCGCGCUACCUCGUGCACUCCAUGGCCACCUGCUACGGCCGAGCGACCCGCGCGACUAGAGAAAAAGGACGCACUGUGUCCAGCUGAAGCCGCCGUAGAUUUGCUGGAGCCAGGACGUAGUAGCCUGGAGCCGCAGCCGCCAUGUAUUUAGCCUGGAGCCGCAGCCGCCAUGUAUUUGUCUAAAUUUGUGUCGCUAACGCUGUAACCUGUAUGUCUUGCCGUCCAUGAAGACAUAGACAUUCUAUGUCCAACCGCAUCCGUGGGGCGCGCGGUGUAGCACUGUGCCAGCCCGCCUUGCCCGGAGCACCGCCUCGCGUUCCUUGCACCGGACCACCGGCUCCAGGACCACUGGCUCCGUGCCGACGUCGUCCGACCUCGCCGCCAUGGCUCCCUUGAUCAAUUCCUCUCUGUGGUAAGCUAGAGGACAAUUUAUCUCACCAGAAGGUCAUCCGCCAUGUAUCACUAUCAUCUGACUAUAAUAACCACAACAUCGCCACCCAGGCACCUGCAUCUUGUGUCUGCCGUCUUGUCCAUAGGCUUCACCGAGAUUCCCUGUAAAUUGUUGCCAAAGGAAUCAAACUCGGAGUCCAUGUAUCACCUACGCCACAGCCACACUAUUCUUCUCCCCCUCCGGCGGAAGAUUGCCGCGCACCGAUCUACCUUCUUCUUAUUCUCGGCUAGGUAGGCCCCAUGGAGAUCGUCUGUAGCUUAUGGCGACAUCCCAUCCAUGCCGUGCAUCCUCGAGAAGGCCUCAUCUACUCCGGCCGCUGCCUCCGUCAGCCGUGGCCUCGCAUUCGAGCUCCGUUGUCAUCUCCGUCCGCUCAAGCCUGAUCUAGGUGAGCCUUCGAUGCUGGUGCACCUCUUCUCCAUCUCUUCCGUCCUCUCUAACCCGCAUGAGCCCUAGUGCCGCUGAAGCCGCCACGGGAGGUCACUGUCGAUGUGUCUGCGGCCAGCCCCCGCACGCUACCACCACCCCAGGCCGGUGCAGCCUCACUCCCGCAUGGCCCCCGUGCCAACUCUCACCUCACGUAGCUCUCUUCUGCGCCUACGCGCGCGUCGCCGCCGUGCCGCGCUCGUAACUGGCGUCUAAGCAGCUUGUGUAUGAUUCGUAAGAGGCUUGCAGGUGGGCCAUAAACCGGUGCAACCUUGACCUAUUCCGAGUUAAUGUUUUCAGGGUCUUUUUUGCAAAAAAUCCUGCCCUCUGAUAUGCG